rnacentral:piRNA from 1 species
ACCUAAAAGAGCUAGCAGAAUUC